CUACUUUAAUAAAUUAAAUAAUUAUAAUCUUAUAUAACAUCAAGUCCAAUAUCCUAAUAUAUUUAUAUACAAUUUCUACACUUGACUGUUUGAGAUUGGGCUAUUUGAGCUUGUUUAAGAAAAAAAAGAAAAAACAAGUGGGGAAGCUUUUAUUAAUUGACGACCAAUCAACGAUUUUAGCAACGGUUCAUUUAAAACGAAAGAGAAAUAUUUUAGCAACGGUUACUUUACAGCGUCGCAAAAUCUAAAUUAGGAUUUUCCCGUUGUAUAUCCGUUGCUUUCCGUAUUUGCCUCUUGAUAUUACAAAUUUCCUAAUUCGUUUGAGGAGAACAAAUUUCCCUCUUUUCCAUUCUCGCAUCUCUAAUGCUUGCUUUUCUACUCCACCCAUCUCUCCCUCAGGCCAUCGUCACCGUCGCUACAAAAGGAUUCCUAUCUCUCUUUCGUUUUCUUUUGACUUUCUGCAUUUAUCUCACUGCUUGGGGUAUUUGCCAAGAAAUUGAAGACUUCACUGGUGCUUAGGCUCUAUUGGCGAUUUCUACGCUGCACAGCAUUCCCGCAAUAAUUGACAGGCAUGGCUUAAGCACAAUAUUGAUAUCCUUUAGAAGCAAAGAUCAACUCCGGCAUUGUUGAUUCUUGAAGUAUCUUUAAUUUUUUCUAAUGGCUCCUUCAGAUAUAGAAGUUUUUGAAACCUUAAAUUACAAACCCUUACACCACUCUUCUCCUACCCAUUUCAUUCGACUCAUUAUCACCAGCACCACCGGGUCAUUAAACCCAGUAUUUGCGAGUUAUCAAGUUUCAUGACUGAGCCGCUUCUCUUUUCGAUUCAGCCCGAAUGGAUUCGUCCUAAAACAAUGCCCAUCUAACUUAGCCAAAUCUGAUUUUUGGAAAUUCUCUGGUGCUAAAAGUCGGCUCUUUAUUGUUACAGGUUAUGGUUUAUCUCUUCAAAUGGGGACUGAUUUAGCUUGAUUAGUAAUUGUAAAGUGGUUUUUGCUUUGUCAUUUUAUUAUCUCUUGAUUAAUUGCACUCUUUGCAUUUUUAUUUGGUAUUUUUUUUGUUGGAUCAUUUUUUUAUGUAAUUAAUGGUUAAAAGAGUGUUUAAUGAUAUUAGUUUUGUUUUUGUUGCUCUGUCAUCUGGCUUCACGGCUUAACAAUGAAGUAUUCAAUUUGGUUUGAGAUUGAUGAGAAUAUGGCAAGGGAGAUCAUAAAUGACAGGUCACUUGCUUCAAGGUGGUUUGUCUUUGACACUUUCUUUCUUGUUCUUUUUUUUUUUUUCCGAAAAGUUCUAGUUUUUGCAUAGGUGUUUAUCAAAAUAGGAUUAACUUAAUUUCUGGAUAUAAAAUAGUGGGCUUUUAUGUGAUUGCAGGUGGUUUUGACACCAAGCCAUCUAGCUAUGGAGUAUGCUGCUGGAGGAGAGCUCUUUGAGCAAAUCUGCAAUAUUGGAAGAUUAAGCAAAGAAAAAGAAGCUAUUAUGAAAGUGGAACCUAAUUUGCAUAUUUACUCUAGCAAAGACCUAGACAUGGAUGAUGGUUGGUUUUGCAUCGGUCAUAUUGAAGUAGCUUUGGUAUGUUAUGCUGUUAAACUGUUAUUAUAUUCUUGGUCACAACUCUUCAAUAAAACCUGCAUAUAUAGUCAAUUUGCUAGAAAUCAGAAGCUUCUUUUUCUUGUCUCCAAGAUAAGCACCUAAAGGUACUGUCUAAGAACCAACAACACCUUCAGCCUGUUGGUGCCUCUUUGAUAAAAAAAAAUGAUAAUGUGCUUUUGAAUUAUCAUAUUUUCAACAAUAGCAAAGACUUUUAAGUAAUUAGUCAGGAUUCAUUGAAUUUACUGAUUGCAUAAUUGAUUUGGAUGCUAAGUACUUAUAUUUUCUAUUAUGCAAGGGUUGUCUACGAUUCUGCAACAUUUUUCUUAUGGACUAAAAGUAUGGGCUUUAGUUACAAUAUGAUUAUAAUAAAUCAAUUUGAUAAAGAGACAUAUUUUUUUAAAAAGUACUUUUUGAAAUUUGAAUAUUUACUUUAAAUUUUGUUAUUUUGGAACUUGAUACUUGUGUCUAGGUUGUCACUCAAUGACUUCAUAUGUGCAUUUGUCAUGUAUCAUAGAGUCACAUAUAAAUUAUUCAUUGUCAUAUAUGAAGGUUGUAUAUUAGUUCGACAUAUAUGGACACAAGAACAUUAGUUUCAAAAUAAUAAUAAAAAAAAAGAAAUCAAAUGAUUGUUAAAAACUCAAUCAUUUUACAGUCCAUAUUGAAGAUGAAUUUGAAAAAGACAUGAAAUAUGAAUGAACAAUUUUAGAUGUAACUCGAGAUAUAUUAAAAUCCAAGUUGUCAGUCAAUCAACCGCAUAUGCAUUAGUCGUGCAUCUAAGUCACAUAUAAGUCAUGCAUUGUCAAGUACUAAGGUCAUAUAUUAGGAUGACACAUUGGAUACAAGGACAUUAGUUCCAAUAUAAUAAUAUAAGAAAAUGAAAUGAAUGAUUGCAAAAUAACAUCAUUUUAGCGUUCAGAUUGUUAAAAAUAAAUUUUAUAAGGACAUGAAAUGUGAAUGAACAAUUUUAGGCAUAACCUGAGAUAGAUCAAAGUCUUAGGUAAGUAAUAUUUAAGUAUGAAAUGGACAACACAUCAAGGUGCAAAAAAGGAGUAUAACAUUAAGAUCUUGAUGUAUAGGAGCACAUUUUAAUUUUAAUAUCUAUUAUUUGGGUCGCAUCCAACUUGCUGCAUAAGUGUCUUUAGAGCAAUAAAACUUGAGAAUAACGAUAAGUUUGUGAGUUGAUACUUAAAUUACCUUACUACGUGAUUAUUAUUUAUUUUUUGAUUAUUAUUAUUAUUAUUAUUACUGUUGUUGUAGUUGUAGUUGUUGUUAUUAUUAUUACUACUAUUAUUACUAUUUUUACUACUAUGUUGGCAUGAGUAUUAUUUAGCUAUAUUUGAUAUUGUAUUAUAUGAUGUGAAAUAAUGUGAUGAUGUUUGGUUUAGUAUAUGCUAGAAUUACAUCUGAAAUCAAAGUAGAAGUUUAGUAAUAAGAGCCUAGGUUCAUAAUAAUCAGUCAAGCGACUUGGUAAGUAUACAAUUCUUGAUUGUCUUUUAUUAAUUUCUUUUAUUUGUACAUGAUAAGUCACUUACUAGUGAUGAAGGUUUUGCAUUUAUUAAAUUAUACAAAUUGGAAAUGCUUUUUGGCAAUUGGGCUGUAGUUUCAAUAUAUCAUAAUAAUUCAGUUUGAUAAAGAUGAAAAGGAUUUGAUAAUAGUUUUAGAAGUAAAUUUUGAAAUUUGAAUGUUUUAUGAACUUUGUUAUUUUGGAACUUCAUAAUUGUGGCCAAGUUGUCAAUCAAUGAGUGGCAUAUGCAUUGGUCAUGCAUCAUAGUCACAUAUAAGUCAUGCAUUGUCAAGUACUAAGGUCAUAUAUUAGCAUGACACAUUGGACACAAGAAUAUUAUUUUCAAAAUAAUAAUAUAAGAAAAUGAAAUGAAAUGUUUGUGAAAAUAAAAUUAUUUCAUAGUUCAUGUUGUUAAAAAUGAACUUUAUAAGGAUAUGGUAGAUGAACAAAUAAUUUUGGAUAUUAAUUUGAAAUUGAUCAAACUCCUCUAGGUAAGUUAUAUUUAAGUAUGAAAUGGUCAAUGCAUCAAGGUGCAGGGAAGGAGUACAACAUCAAGAUCUUGAUGUAUACAAACACUUACUAAUUUUGAUUUCCAUUUAUUUAGAUCUCAUUCGACUCGCUGUACAAGAGUUUGAAAGCUAUACAACUUGAGGAUAAUGAGAAGUUUGUGAGUUCAUACUUACUUACUGCAUGAUAUUAUUAUUGUUUUCAUUAUUAUUAUUAUUAUUUCUACUACUACUACUACUACUACAAUUACUACUAUUUCUACUAUGACUGGGUUGCUAUGAGUAUUGUUAAGAUAUAUUGGUUGUUGUAUUAUAUGAUUUGAAAUAAUGUGAUAAUGUUUGUUUUAGUAUUUGCUAGAAUUACAUCCACUAUGAAAAUAACGGUUUUGUACUAGGAGGCUAGGUUCAUAAUAACCAGUUAAGCGACUCGGUAAGUACACAAUUCUUGAUUGUUUUUUGUUAAUUUCUUUUAUUUGUAAGUCACAAGUGAAUUACUAGUGAUGGAGGUUUUGAAUGUAUUAAAUUUUACAAAUUUGAAAAUGUUUUUUGGUAAUUGGGGCUUUAGUUUCAGUAUACCAUAAUAAAUCAGUUUGAUAAAGGUAAAAAGAAUUUGAUGAUAUUUUAAAGGGGCAUUUUGAAAUUUGAAUUUUCUUAUGAAUUAUGUUAUUUUGGAAUUUGAUUCUUGUGUCCAAGUUGUCAAUCAGUGAAUCGCAUAUGCAUUAGUCAUGCAUUAUAGUCACAUAUUGUCAAGUACUAAAGUCAUCCAUUAGCAUGACACAUUGGAUAGAAGGACAUUAUUUUAAAGACAAGAAUAUAAGAAAAUGAAAUAAAAUGUUUGUGAAAAAAAAAUCAUUUUAAGUACAUAUUGUUAACAAUUAACUUUAUAAAGACAUGAAAGUUGAACAAACAAUUUUCGAUAUAAUAUGAGAUUUAUCAAAGUACUUUUGGUAAGCUAUAUCUAAGUAUGAAAUAGACAACACAUCAAGGUGCAAGGAAGGAGUAUAACAUCAAGAUCUUAAUGUAUAAGAGCACAUACUAAUUUUGCUUUCUAUUUAUUUAGAUCCCAUCAAACUCACUCCACAAGAGUUUUGAAAACUACGCAACUUGAGGAUAACAAUAAGUUUAUCCCAUCUAGCUCAUUCCAUAAGACUUUUGAAAGCUAUACAACUUGAGGAUAACAAUAAGUUUGUAAGUUGACACUUAACUUACCUUACUAUAUGAUUUUUAUUAUUGCUUUUAUAAUUAUUAUUAUUAUUAUUAUUAUUAUUAUUAUUAUUGUUAUUAUUCUUACUACUAUGACUGUGUUGUUAUGAGUAUUGUUAAAAUAUAUUUAUUGUUGUAUUAUAUAAAUAAUGUGAUAAGGUUUGUUUUAGUAUUUGCUAGAACUACAUUCAAUAUGAAAAUAGUGGUUUUGUACUAGGAGGCUAUAUUCAUAAUAAUCAGUUAAGCGACUCGGUAAGUACACAAUUCUUAAUCGUUUUUUGUUAAUUUCUUUUAUUUGUAAAUCACAAGUGAGGUACUGGUGAUAAAAGUUUUGAAUGUAUUAAAUUUUACAAAUUAAAAAUAUUUUUUAGCAAUUGGAGCUUUAGUUCAGUAUACUGUAAUAAAUCAGUUUGAUAAAGGUAAAAAGAAUUUACUAAUAUUUUAGAGGGCCAUUUUAAAAUUUGAAUUUUCUUAUGAAUUAUGUUGUUUUUGGAACUUGAUUCUUGUGUCCAAGUUGUCAAUCACUGAGUCGGAUAUGCAUUGGUCAUACAUAAUAGUGACAUAUAAGUCACGCAUUAUCAAGUACUAAAUCCAUUAGCAUGAUAAAUUGGACACAAGUAUAUUAUUUUCAAAAUAAUAAUAUAAGAAAAUGAAAUGAAAUGUUUAUGAAAAAUAAAAUCAGUUCAGAGUUCAUAUUAUUAAUAAUAAACUUUAUAAGGGAAUGAAAGGUGAACUAACAAUUUUUCAAUAUAAUCUGAGAUUGAUCAAAGUACUCUUGGUAAACUAUUUCUAAGUAUGAUAUAAACAAAACAUGAAGGUACAAGGAAAGAGUACAACAUCAAGAUCUUGAUGUAUAAGAGCACAUACUAAUUUUGCUUUCUAUUUAUUCAGAUCUCAUCCAACUCACUCCACAAGAGUUUUGAAAGCUAUGCAACUUGAGGAUAAUAAUAAGUUUAUCCCAUCCAAGUCACUCCAUAAGAGUUUUGAAAGCUAUGCAACUUGAGGAUAACAAUAAUUUUGUAAGUUGACGCUUAACUUACCUUAAUAUAUGAUUUUUAUUAUUGCUUUCAUAAUUAUUAUUAUUGUUGUUAUUCUUACUAUUAUGACUCUGUUGCCAUGAGUAUUGUUAAGAUGUAUUGGUUGUUGAAUUAUGUGAUUUGAAAUAAUGUGAUAAUGUUUGUUUUAGUAUUUGCUAGAAUUACAUCCAGUAUGAAAAUAGUGGUUUUGUACUAGGUUCAUAAUAACCAGUUAAGCGACUCGGUAAGUACACAAUUCUUGAUUGUUUUUAAUUAAUUUCUUUUAUUUGUAAGUCACAAGUGAGCUACUGGUGAUCGAGGUUUUGAAUAUAUUAAAUUUUACAAAUUGAAAAUGUUUUUUAGCAAUUGGGACUUUAGUUUCAGUAUACUAUAAUAAAUCAGUUUGAUAAAGGUAAAAAGAAUUUGAUGAUAUUUUAGAGGAGCAUUUUGAAAUUUGAAUUUUUUUAAGAAUUAUGUUAUUUUGGAACUUGAUUCUUGUAUCCAAGUUGUCAAUCACUGAGUCACAUAUACAUUGGUCAUGCAUCAUAGUCACAUAUAAGUCACGCAUUGUCAAGUACUAAAGUCAUCCAUUAGCAUGACAAAUUAGACACAAGGCCAUUAUUUCCAAAAUAAGAAUAAUAAGAAAAUGAAAUGAAAUAUUUGUGAAAAAUAAAAUCAUUUUAAGUUCAUAUUAUUAACAAUGAACUUUAUAAAGAUAUGAAAGCGGAGAAAACAAUUUUCGAUAUAAUCUGAGAUUUAUCAAAGUACUCUUUGUAAGCUAUUUCUAAGUAUGAAAUAGACAACGCAUUAAAGUGCAAGGAAGGAGCACAACAUCAAGAUCUUAAUCUAUAAGAGCACAUACUAAUUUUGCUUUCUAUUUAUUUAGAUCCCAUUCAACUCACUCCAUAAGAGUUUUGAAAGCUAUGCAACUUGAGGAUAACAAUAAGUUUGUAAGUUGACGCUUAACUUACCUUAAUAUAUGAUUUUUAUUAUUGCUUUCAUAAUUAUUAUUAUUGUUAUUAUUCUUACUACUAUGACUCUGUUGCCAUGAGUAUUGUUAAGAUGUAUUGGUUGUUGAAUUAUGUGAUUUGAAAUAAUGUGAUAAUGUUUGUUUUAGUAUUUGCUAGAAUUACAUCCAGUAUGAAAAUAGUGGUUUUUUACUAGGAGGCUAGGUUCAUAAUAACCAGUUAAGCGACUAGGUAAGCACACUUGCCUUUUCUUAAUUUUUUUUAUUUGUACAUGACAAAUGAGUUUCUGGUGAUCGAGGUUUUGAAUGUAUUAAAAUUUACAAAUUGAAAAUGUUUUUUGGCAAUUCGGGCUUUAGUUUCAGUAUACUAUAAUAAACCAGUUUGAUAAAGGUAAAAAGAAUUUGAUGAUGUUUUAGAGGAGCAUUUUGAAAUUUGAAUUUUUUUAAGAAUUAUAUUAUUUUGGAACUUGAUUCUUGUGUCCAAGUUGUCAAUCACUGAGUCGUAUAUGCAUUGGUCAUGCAUUAUAGUCACAUAUAAGUCACGCAUUGUCAAGUACUAAAGUCAUCCAUUAACAUGACAAAUUGGAUACAAGGAUAUUAUUUUCAAAAUAAGAAUAAUAAGAAAAUGAAAAGAAAUAUUUGUGAAAAAUAAAAUCAUUUUAAGUUCAUAUUAUUAACAAUGAACUUUAUAAAGAAAUGAAAGCUGAACAAACAAUGUUUGAUAUAAUAUGAGAUUUAUCAAAGUACUCUUUGUAAGCUAUUUCUAAGUAUGAAAUAGACAACGCAUCAAGCUGCAAGGAAGGAGCACAACAUCAAGAUCUUAAUGUAUAAAAGCACAUACUAAUUUUGCUUUCUAUUUAUUUAGAUCCCAUCCAAGUCACUCCAUAAGAGUUUUGAAAGUUAUGCAACUUGAGGAUAACAAUAAUUUUUAUUUGCUAGAAUUACAUCCAGGAUGAAAAGAAUGGUUUUGUACUAGGAGGCUAGGUUCAUAAUAACCAGUUAAGCGACUCGGUAAGUACACAAUUCUUGAUUAUUUUUUGUUACUUUCUUUUAUUUGUAAGUCACAAGUGAGCUACUGGUGAUCGAGGUUUUGAAUGUAUUAAAUUUUGCAAAUUGAAAAUGUUUUUUAGCAAUUGGGACUUUAGUUUCAGUAUACUAUAAUAAAUCAGUUUGAUAAAGGUAAAAAGAAAUUGAUGAUAUUUUAAAGGAGCAUUUUGAAAUUUGAAUUUUUUUAGGAAUUAUGUUAUUUUCGAACUUGAUUCUUGUGUCCAAGUUGUCAAUCACUGAGUCGCAUAUGCAUUGGUCAUGCAUCCUAGUCACAUAUAAGUCACGCAUUGUCAAGUACUAAAGUCAUCCAUUAGCAUGACAAAUUGGACAGAAGGACAUUAUUUCCAAAAUAAGAAUAAUAAGAAAAUGAAAUGAAAUAUUUGUGAAAAAUAAAGUCAUUUUAAAUUCAUAUUAUUAACAAUGAACUUUAUAAAGAUAUGAAAGCGGAACAAACAAUUUUCGAUAUAAUCUGAGAUUUAUCAAAGUACUCUUUGUAAGCUAUUUCUAAGUAUGAAAUAGACAACGCAUCAAGGUGCAAGGAAGGAGCACAACAUCAAGAUCUUAAUCUAUACGAGCACAUAAUAAUUUUGCUUUCUAUUUAUUUAGAUCCCAUUCAACUCACUCCAUAAGAGUUUUGAAAGCUAUGCAACUUGAGGAUAACAAUAAGUUUGUAAGUUGACGCUUAAGUUACCUUAAUAUAUUAUUUUUAUUAUUGCUUUCAUAAUUAUUAUUAUUGUUAUUAUUCUUACUACUAUGACUCUGUUGCCAUGAGUAUUGUUAAGAUGUAUUGGUUGUUGAAUUAUAUGAUUUGAAAUAAUGUGAUAAUGUUUGUUUUAGUAUUUGCUAGAAUUACGUCUAGUAUGAAAAUAAUGGUUUUCUACUAGGAGGCUAGGUUCAUAAUAACCAGUUAAGCGACUCGGUAAGUACACAAUUCUUGAUUUUUUUUGUUAAUUUCUUUUAUUUGUACAUGACAAAUGAGUUUCUGGUGAUCGUGGUUUUGAAUGUAUUAAAAUUUACAAAUUGAAAAUAGUUUUUAGCAAUUCAGGCAUUAGUUUCAGUAUACUAUAAUAAACCGGUUUGAUAAAGGUAAAAAAAAUUUGAUGAUAUUUUAGAGGAGCAUUUUGAACUUUGAAUUUUUUUAAGAAUUAUGUUAUUUUCGAACUUUAUUCUUGUGUCCAAGUUGUCAAUCACUGAGGUCGCAUAUGCAUUGGUCAUGCAUCAUAGUCACAUAUAAGUCACGCAUUGUCAAGUACUAAAGUCAUCCAUUAGCAUGACAAAUUGGACACAAGGACAUUAUUUUCAAAAUAAGAAUAAUAAGAAAAUGAAAUGAAAUAUUUGUGAAAAAUAAAAUCAUUUUAAGUUCAUAUUAUUAACAAUGAACUUUAUAAAGACAUGAAAGCUGAACAAACAGUUUUCGAUAUAAUCUGAGAUUUAUCAAAGUACCAUUUGUAAGCUAUUUCUAAGUAUGAAAUAGACAACGCAUCAAGGUGCAAGGAAGGAGCACAACUUCAAGAUCUUAAUGUAUAAAAGCACAUACUAAUUUUGCUUUCUAUUUAUUUAGAUCUCAUCCAACUCACUCCAUAAGAGUUUUGAAAGCUAUGCAACUUGAGGAACAAUAAGUUUGUAAGUUGACGCUUAACUUACCUUAAUAUAUGAUUUUUAUUAUUGCUUUCAUAAUAAUUAUUAUUGUUAUUAUUUUUACUACUAUGACUAUGUUGCCAUGAGUAUUGUUAAGAUGUAUUGGUUGUUGAAUUAUGUGAUUUGAAAUAAUGUGAUAAUGUUUGUUUUAGUAUUUGCUAGAAUUACGUCCAGUAUGAAAAUAGUGGUUUUGUACUAGGAGGCUAGGUUCAUAAUAACCAGUUAAGCGACUCGGUAAGUACACAAUUCUUGAUUUUUUUUGUUAAUUUCUUUUAUUUGUACAUGACAAAUGAGUUUCUGGUGAUCGAGGUUUUGAAUGUAUUAAAAUUUACAAAUUAAAAAUAUUUUUUAGCAAUUCGGGCUUUAGUUUCAGUAUACUAUAAUAAACCAGUUUGAUAAAGGUAAAAAAAAUUUGAUGAUAUUUUAGAAAAGCAUUUUGAACUUUGAAUUUUUUGAGAAUUAUGUUAUUUUGGAACUUGAUUCUUGUGUCCAAGUUGUCAAUCACUGAGGUCGCAUAUGCAUUGGUCAUGCAUCAUAGUCACAUAUAAGUCACGCAUUGUCAAUUACUAAAGUCAUCCAUUAGCAUGACAAAUUGGACACAAGGACAUUAUUUUCAAAAUAAGAAUAAUAAGAAAAUGAAAUGAAAUUUUGUGAAAAAUAAAAUCAUUUUAAGUUCAUAUUAUUAACAAUGAACUUUAUAAAGACAUGAAAGCUGAACAAACAGUUUUCGAUAUAAUCUGAGAUUUAUCAAAGUACCAUUUGUAAGCUAUUUCUAAGUAUGAAAUAGAGAACGCAUCAAGGUGCAAAGAAGGAGCACAACUUCAAGAUCUUAAUGUAUAAAAGCACAUACUAAUUUUGCUUUCUAUUUAUUUAGAUUUCAUCCAACUCACUCCAUAAGAGUUUUGAAAGCUAUGCAACUUGAGGAACAAUAAGUUUGUAAGUUGACGCUUAACUUACCUUAAUAUAUGAUUUUUAUUAUUGAAUUCAUAAUAAUUAUUAUUGUUAUUAUUCUUACUACUAUGACUAUGUUGCCAUGAGUAUUGUUAAGAUGUAUUGGUUGUUGAAUUAUAUGAUUUGAAAUAAUGUGAUAAUGUUUGUUUUAGUAUUUGCUAGAAUUGCGUCCAGUAUGAAAAUAGUGGUUUUGUACUAGGAGGCUAGGUUCAUAAUAACCAGUUAAGCGACUCGGUAAGUACACAAUUCUUGAUUGUUUUUUGUUAAUUUCUUUUAUUUGUACAUGACAAAUAAGUUUCUGGUGAUCGAGGUUUUGAAUGUAUUAAAAUUUACAAAUUGAAAAUAUUUUUUAGCAAUUCGGACUUUAGUUUCAGUAUACUAUAAUAAACCAGUUUAAUAAAGGUAAAAAGAAUUUGAUGAUAUUUUAGAGGAGCAUUUUGAAAUUUGAAUUUUUUUGAGAAUUAUGUUAUUUUGGAACUUGAUUCUUGUGUCCAAGUUGUCAAUCACUGAGGUCGCAUAUGCAUUGGUCAUGCAUCAUAGUCACAUAUAAGUCACGCAUUGUCAAGUACUAAAGUCAUCCAUUAGCACGACAAAUUGGACACAAGGACAUUAUUUUCAAAAUAAGAAUAAUAAGAAAAUGAAAUGAAAUAUUUGUGGAAAAUAAAAUCAUUUUAAGUUCAUAUUAUUAACAAUGAACUUUAUAAAGACAUGAAAGCUGAACAAACAAUUUUCGAUAUAAUUUGAGAUUUAUCAAAGUACUAUUUGUAAGCUAUUUCUAAGUAUGAAAUAGACAACGCAUCAAGGUGCAAAGAAGGAGCACAACAUUAAGAUCUUAAUGUAUAAGAGCACAUACUAAUUUUGCUUUCUAUUUAUUUAGAUCACAUCCAACUCACUCCAUAAGAGUUUUUGAAAGCUAUGCAAGUUGACGCUUAACUUACCUUAAUAUAUGAUUUUUAUUAUUGCUUUCAUAAUUAUUAUUAUUGUUAUUAUUCUUACUACUAUGACUCUGUUGCCAUGAGUAUUGUUAAGAUGUAUUGGUUGUUGAAUUAUGUGAUUUGAAAUAAUGUGAUAAUGUUUGUUUUAGUAUUUGCUAGAAUUACAUCCAGUAUGAAAAUAGUGGUUUUGUACUAGGAUGCUAGGUUCAUAAUAACCAGUUAUACACAAUUCUUGAUUGUUUUUUGUUAAUUUCUUUUAUUUGUAAGUCACAAGUGAGCACUGGUGAUCGAGGUUUUGAAUGUAUUAAAUUUUACAAAUUGAAAAUUUUUUUUAGCAAUUGAGACUUUAGUUUCAGUAUACUAUAAUAAAUCAGUUUGAUAAAGGUAAAAAGAAUUUGAUGAUAUUUUAGAGGAGCAUUUUGAAAUUUGAAUUUUUUUUAAGAAUUAUGUUAUUUUGGAACUUGAUUCUUGUGUCCAAGUUGUCAAUCACUGAGUCGUAUAUGCAUUGGUCUUGCAUCAUAGUCACAUAUAAGUCACGCAUUGUCAAGUACUAAAGUCAUCCAUUAGUAUGACAAAUUGGACACAAUGACAUUAUUUUCAAAAUAAGAAUAAUAAGAAAAUGAAAUGAAAUAUUUGUGAAAAAUAAAAUCAUUUUAAGUUCAUAUUAUUAACAAUGAACUUUAUAAAAACAUGAAAGCUGAAAAACAAUUUUCGAUAUAAUUUGAGAUUUAUCAAAGUACUCUUUGUAAGCUAUUUCUAAGUAUGAAAUAGACAACGCAUCAAGGUGCAAGGAAGGAGCACAACAUCAAGAAUAAGAAUAAUAAGAAAAUGAAAUGAAAUAUUUGUGAAAAAUAAACAUUUGUGAAAAAUAAAAUCAUUUUAAGUUCAUAUUAUUAACAAUGAACUUUAUAAAAACAUGAAAGCUGAAAAAAUAAUUUUCGAUAUAAUCUGAGAUUUAUCAAAGUACUCUUUGUAAGCUAUUUCUAAGUAUGAAAUAGACAACGCAUCAAGGUGCAAGGAAGGAGCACAACAUCAAGAUCUUAAUGUAUAAGAGCACAUACUAAUUUUACUUUCUAUUUAUUUAGAUCCCAUCCAAGUCACUCCAUAAGAGUUUUGAAAGCUAUGCAACUUGAGGAUAACAAUAAGUUUGUAAGUUGACGCUUAACUUACCUUAAUAUAUGAUUUUUAUUAUUGCUUUCAUAAUUAUUAUUAUUGUUAUUAUUCUUACUACUAUGACUCUGUUGCCAUGUGUAUUGUUAAGAUGUAUUGGUUGUUGAAUUAUGUGAUUUGAAAUAAUGUGAUAAUAUUUGUUUUAUUAUUUGCUAGAAUUACAUCCAAUAUGAAAAUAGUGGUUUUGUACUAGGACGCUAGGUUCAUAAUAACCAGUUAAGCGACUCGGUAAGUACACAAUUAUUGAUUGUUUUUUGUUAA